rfam:Brachypodium distachyon strain Bd21 chromosome 4, whole genome shotgun sequence.
GGAUGCGGUUAUACCAGCACUAAAGCACCGGAUCCCAUCAGAACUCCGAAGUUAAGCGUGCUUGGGCGAGAGUAGUACUAGGAUGGGUGACCUCCUGAGAAGUCCUCGUGUUGCAUUCU